AGUACGGCGGAACACGAGAAAUUCCGUCGGAAUCCGCGGGGACCAUCCCGCAAGGCUAAAUACUCCCUAGUGACCGAUAGUGAACCAGUACCGUGAGGGAAAGGUGAAAAGCACCCCGGAAGGGGAGUGAAAUAGAUCCUGAAACCGUGUGCCUACAACAAGUCAAAGCUCGUUAAUGAGUGAUGGCGUGCCUUUUGUAGAAUGAACCGGCGAGUUACGAUUGCAUGCGAGGUUAAGUCGAAGAGACGGAGCCGCAGCGAAAGCGAGUCUGAAUAGGGCGAAUGAGUAUGUAGUCGUAGACCCGAAACCAUGUGAUCUACCCAUGUCCAGGUUGAAGGUGCGGUAAAACGCACUGGAGGACCGAACCCACGUACGUUGAAAAGUGCGGGGAUGAGGUGUGGGUAGCGGAGAAAUUCCAAACGAACUUGGAGAUAGCUGGUUCUCUCCGAAAUAGCUUUAGGGCUAGCCUCGGAAUUGAGAAUGAUGGAGGUAGAGCACUGUUUGGACUAGGGGCCCAUCUCGGGUUACCGAAUUCAGAUAAACUCCGAAUGCCAUUCAUUUAUAUCCGGGAGUCAGACUGCGAGUGAUAAGAUCCGUAGUCGAAAGGGAAACAGCCCAGACCACCAGCUAAGGUCCCAAAAUAUAUGUUAAGUGGAAAAGGAUGUGGGGUUGCACAGACAACUAGGAUGUUGGCUUAGAAGCAGCCACCAUUUAAAGAGUGCGUAAUAGCUCACUAGUCGAGUGACCCUGCGCCGAAAAUGUACCGGGGCUAAACAUAUUACCGAAGCUGUGGACUACACCAUUAGGUGUAGUGGUAGGAGAGCGUUCUAAGGGCGUUGAAGGUCGAUCGUGAGGACGGCUGGAGCGCUUAGAAGUGAGAAUGCCGGUAUGAGUAGCGAAAGACAGGUGAGAAUCCUGUCCACCGUAUGACUAAGGUUUCCUGGGGAAGGCUCGUCCGCCCAGGGUUAGUCGGGACCUAAGCCGAGGCCGAUAGGCGUAGGCGAU
rnacentral:rRNA from 1 species